GCCAUCAUGGGAGAUUAUGUUUUGUAUUAGGUUAUUUGUUGACCCGAGUUCAUCCAUGCCGACUAGAUUGGUCAGACAUGAAAUGUGCUAAUCCAAAUCAGAUUAAUCAUUAUAUCAGAUAUAUGUGACUAAUUAGAAGAGACCUAAAUCUAAAUCUUCUCACUAAAUAUUAAGUCUACUGAUCUUUCACCAUUGUAGAGAUGCGGGUACUUUUUCCAAUGUUGAUCGUUCUCGACUGGUUACAGUAGUUCGAUUGCAUCGAGAAGGCACAACCAUUCUAUUG
rnacentral:lncRNA from 1 species